AUUGAACGCUGGCGGCAGGCCUAACACAUGCAAGUCGAACGGUAACAGGAAGAAGCUUGCUUCUUUGCGGACGAGUGGCGGGCGGGUGAGUAAUGUCUAGGAAACUCUCUGAUGGAGGGGGAUAACUACUGGAAACGGUAGCUAAUACCGCGUAACGUCGCAAAACCAAAGAGGGGGACCUUCGGGCCUCUUGCCAUCGGAUGUGCCCAGAUGGGAUUAGCUAGUAGGUGGGGUAACGGCUCACCAAGGCGACGAUCCCUAGCGGGUCUGAGAGGAUGAUCAGCCACACUGGAACUGAGACACGGUCCAGACUCCUACGGGAGGCAGCAGUGGGGAAUAUUGGACAAUGGGCGCAAGCCUGAUGCAGCCAUGCCGCGUGUAUGAAGAAGGCCUUCGGGUUGUAAAGUACUUUUAGCGGGGAGGAAGGGAGUAAAGUUAAUACCUUUGCUCAUUGACGUUACCCGAAGAAGAAGCACCGGCUAACUCCGUG
rnacentral:rRNA from 1 species